ACUCCAUGGUGAGGACAAGAUCUUUUGUAUCUUUUCAAACUUUCUCAUGCUUCAUAGAGAGCUUCAUUUGGACCUAGCUUGAAGCUUGUAAUGUCAUUUCCAAGCCA
rfam:Arabis alpina cultivar Pajares Aa.chr7_contig_3000, whole genome shotgun sequence.